UCGAUGCAGAUGAGGAUACAUGAGUUUAUGGUUAAUUUGCAUCUGAGGCAUUUCUGUGAUGUCACACUCUUUCACCUUGGAGAUCUGAUGCAUCUG
rfam:Triticum aestivum genome assembly, contig: Triticum_aestivum_CS42_TGACv1_scaffold_459357_5DS